AUAACUUGCUGCACCAAAUGCACGUAGGGUUAGCUAACACGUGAUGCUGUAAGCCAGUAGUUAGCACAUGAUGCUUUUUCCGUGCUCAAUUCAACUUUAUGUUAUAUACGUAGGCCCACCACUUCAUUUGAAGGGCUGUAGAAGACUGACAUGAAACUGUCUGAACCAUUUGUACACUGGCUUACUGGGUCAAAGUUUGGAUUGAUUGAUUUGAUUUGACCAUUAUUGAUAUAGUAUGAAUCAAGCACUCUGUGUGUCAUAGAUUCAAAUACAAAAUAGUCAGGGAUGACACAAUAAAGCCCAUAGGCUCAUUUCCAUUCUGGUCCCUAGCACAAUGGAAUCAUUCUGGGCACAGUCAUAGUAAAAUAGUACAAUGUAAAUAGAAUAGAAUAUAGGCUAUACAUAAUUGCUUUAUAACUUAGCAGUCCAGCAUAUCAUAAAUGGAGAGUAGUGAUUCAUUGUUAUUUAAACCUGCAUGCCUAUGAAGCCCAUUUGAAUUGAAUUGAAUUGAAAUGAGUAGUGUGAACGGUCAGUAUGUUGGUAGUCUUAAGUAUGAUGUCAACGUUCUGAUGAGGAGAACACAGAUGUCAAAUCUAGGCUGUUCAAUUCUGAAUAGUUGGUUCAAAGUGUUUUCUCUCCAACAGGUCCUUCAAUUGUCUUCUUCCAUUUGUCCCUCCUUGAAGCAUCGUUUCUAAAACGCAAACCAAAGGCACUUUUUAGAGCCACGUCUGUCUGUCUUGUUAUCCUGCCCGUGCUGUGUUGUACUUGUCAGUCUUUCUGUUGCUGUUUGUGUAUCUUUCUGUCAGUAUUAAGUUCUUGUCUGUAAAAAAAUAUCUUGUUAUCUGUCUUGUUUUUGUUUAUAUCAGUGUGUGUCAUGACACGUCCAAAGUUCAGGCCCUGUCCAUCUUGCCAGACACUCAAUGCUGCAAGCCUCAAAACUUGCAGCAUGUGUUAUGUGAGCCUGUCAAUGAAGAAGAAGUUGAAGGAAAAGACAGCAUCAUUGGACAGCAAGUGGGGUCAAGGUAUCGUCCCAAACCGGAAUGUUGGCCGCAUUAUUGAUUCAGCCCGUAUUGCAGUGCGAAAACUUGAGGCCAUAGGCUACAAGCCCAUUUUAUUUAUGGGAAAAAAAGACAAGAAGGCCUCUAACAAGUGGGUAGCUGACAUAAUAACCCAUUUGCCCCUCACAUCUACCACCAAAAACUUCUUGGAGAAGAUGAGGAGGGCUUAUGAAUUUCUUUUGACUAAGGAACCGCAGCCCAACACUGACCCAUCAGCAGAGCCUGAUAACCCCACCAUGGAGCAGGGUGACAGCCCCGUCGAGGGUAUGGGCCACAGCCAGGACGAGGAGCAGCACAGCAGCCUCGCCAUGGAGCAACGUGACCACACCUAGGAGACUGUAUUUGUCCUGAACCUUGUCCCUUGUCCGUCUCUCUCUUCUUCUUCUUGUUCUACCUCUACCACUGUUGCAGCAAUGAAGAAGAGGAAGAGAGGAAAUGACUCCCAGUUAAAGAAGGAGGGGCUUAAGAAGAAAAAGGGUUGUCGAAAAUGUAGUAGACAGAAAAUAUUCCAGUUUGGCUCAAUUUCUGGGAGAAGGAUACAUGAGUGGCAAAACCUGGGAUGACACAUGGGAGCCUGCAAACACAUUUGCACAACAACACCACACUGCCACCCCUGAGUCUCCUCCUCCUUCUGGUUCAGUUAGCUGAACCUAACUGGUUGGGCUCUACUCACAGCAGGGGAAAAGAGACAAUCGACAGAAAUGACUGACACUGAGCUCAAAUCAAAUACUGUGCUGCAACACGUGUCUUUUGUGUUUAUUGAAGGAAUGUGUUCAUGGA